UACGUAGGGCGCAAGCGUUGUCCGGAAUUAUUGGGCGUAAAGAGCUCGUAGGCGGUUUGUCGCGUCUGGUGUGAAAACUCAAGGCUCAACCUUGAGCUUGCAUCGGGUACGGGCAGACUAGAGUGCGGUAGGGGAGACUGGAAUUCCUGGUGUAGCGGUGGAAUGCGCAGAUAUCAGGAGGAACACCGAUGGCGAAGGCAGGUCUCUGGGCCGCAACUGACGCUGAGGAGCGAAAGCAUGGGGAGCGAACAGG
rnacentral:rRNA from 1 species